GAUGAAGAACGUAGCGAAAUGCGAUAAGUAAUGCGAAUUGCAGAAUUCCAGUGAAUCAUCGAAUCUUUGAACGCACCUUGCGCCCUUUGGCCAUUCCGAAGGGCAUGCCUGUUUGAGUAUCAUGAACACCUCAACUCUUUAUGGUUUUCCAUGAUGAGCUUGGACUCUGGGGGUUUUGCUGGCUCACAGUCGGCUCCUCUAAAAUGAAUCAGCUUACCAGUGUUUGGUGGGUAUCAUGGGUGUGAUAACUAUCUACGCUUGUGGUUUUUCCACCAGGUAACCUUCAGCAGUGGAGGUUCGCUGGAGCUCAUAGAUGUCUCUCCUCAGUGAGGACAGCCCUUUGAAUGUUUGAUCUCAAAUCAGGUAGGACUACCCGCUGAACUUAAGCAUAUCAAUAAGCGGAGGA
rnacentral:misc_RNA from 1 species